CAUGAUUUAUAGAUAUUGGAAUUUGAGAAAUAUUUAAAAUUUUGAAUAUUUCACAAAUAAGUACAGUACUUUACUGUAUCAGAGUCGAUAGAUUAAUUAACCGACUCUGACUGUAUUUAGCAUUCAUGGAUGACCUUGAAAGUUCGUCUGCUCAAUCUGGAUAAGCCUUAAAUGCAGAUUCGAUUUGUCACCUUGCAGUCCCGAUUAAAACAUUUCAGACGUCAGUUUUUUCAUGAAAGAGAGAAUAUGGAGCAUAAAGGACGACGUUUAUUUAUCGUUAGACACGCCGAAAGAGUCGAUUUUACUUUUGGCGAUUGGAUCUCUUUUUGUUUUGACAAAUCAGGUAAUUAUAAAAGAACAAAUUUAAAUAUGCCAGAAUCUGUUCCACAUAGAAUUGGUGGACCAAGAGAUUUUUUUAAAGAUUGUCCACUUACAAAAAUUGGUUUAUAUCAAGCUACUCUAACAGGGGAAGCUAUGAAAAAGUCUGGUGUUGUUUUUAGUCAUGUUUAUUGUUCACCAUCUCUCAGAUGUAUUGAAACUUGCACAGCUAUAUUGAAAGCUUCAGGAAAUUAUCAUACGCUUAUUAAUGUGGAACCUGGAUUAUUUGAAUGGUUAGCUUGGUAUCAUGAUGGAAUGCCUAAAUGGAUGACUUUACAAGAGUUAAAAAGUUAUGGAUUUAAUAUUUGUAUGGACUAUAAACCAGUUAUAACAGUUGAUGAACUGCAAGGUAAACUUGAACCUAGUGAACAAUAUUACAUGAGAAGUUUAUGUACAACUGAAACAAUUUUAAAAAGAACAGGUGCUGCAGGAAAAACCAUUUUAUUAGUUGGACAUGCUGCAACUUUAGAUACAUGCACACGUCAGCUUGUGGGAAAUCCUCCUAGAAAUGGACAAGAACUACAAAGUCUUGUUUAUCAUAUUCCUUAUUGUAGUGUUGCUAUGGCAGAAGAAGAAGAUGGUAAAUGGAAAUUAGCAGAACCACCUUUCCCAUCUUUAAUGCAUUCAAAUAAUGCUAGAUUUGAUUGGACUUGUUUAUUAUCUUGAUUCCAAAAUAUGUUAUACAUAAAGACAGAGCCGGCCCUACCAUAGGGCGAACAGAGCAGCCGCUCCAGGUGCUAAGUCCUAGGGGGUGCCUCAGUGAUAAAGAAAAUUAAAGGUUAUAAAUUAGGGUCAACCGAGGGAGUGCCAUAAUAGGAUCUUGCUCCAUCCUAAAACUUUCCUCGGGCCGGCACUGCAUAAAGAGAAAUUAAUCACGUUUUCAGAAAGUCUAUGAUUUGCAUUUUGUUUUUGAUUGGAACAUUUAAUGGAAAACAAACAAAACUGGUUUGAUUUAAAGAAGUUCAGGUUAGUAAGUGCACUCCAUAUAUGAAGAAACAAGUAACUACAACUUCAAUAAAAUGUUUAAAACUUUAUAGAAUGAGAUCAAUAGUCAUAUAAUUUAUUAUAAUAAACAUCAUAAUAUGUAUCAUAAUAAAUUCCAUAAAAAUACAGAAUUUUCAGAAUGUUUACUAUAUUUCAUUAAAGUGUAUGAAUUAUUUGAAAUGUGAUAAAUAUUCCAAAAUGUUCAUUAUGCUACCUGAAAUGUUAUCUAUAAUUAUUCAAACUAUAUACAUUAAUAAGUAUUUCUUUAAUUUAUCAGACUUUUUAUGUUUAGAAAUUUUAAAUGAGGGGCAGAUUUUAAAUUUUAUAAAUUUUACAGAAUUUUGCCAAAUUUCAAGUACUGGUACUUUAUGAAUUUUACCUUGUUAACUGUUAUCAUUGUUCAUUAAAAGAAAUUAUCAAAUUAAGGGAUGUGUGUGUAUAAAAUCCUUUAAAGUAUGUUUUAUUAGUGAUAUAUGUAUACAGUAGAGCAUCAAUUAUCCGACUCAAUUGGGGACUCAGGUUGGUCGGAUAACUGAAAAAAUCGGAUAAUCGAAAAGAAUGAA
rnacentral:misc_RNA from 1 species